rnacentral:rRNA from 1 species
AACGCGAAGAACCUUACCUGGCCUUGACAUGCUGGUAGUAGAAGCCUGAAAGGGUGACGAUCCCGAGCAAUCGGGAAGCCAGCACAGGUGCUGCAUGGUUGUCGUCAGCUCGUGUCGUGAGAUGUUGGCUUAAGUGCCGCAACGAGCGCAACCCCUGUGUUUAGUUGCCUGCGAAAGUGGGAUCUCUAAACAGACUGCCUCGCUUUAAACGAGGAGGAAGGUGGGGAUGACGUCAAAUCAGUAUGGCCCUUACGGCCAGGGCUGCACACGUGCUACAAUGCAUGGUACAGAGGGACGCAAGACCGCGAGGUGGAGCAAAUCCCAUAAAACCAUGCCCAGUUCAGAUUGAAGGCUGCAACUCGCCUUCAUGAAGCCGGAAUCGCUAGUAAUGGCGCAUCAGCUACGGCGCCGUGAAUACGUUCCCGGGCCUUGUACACACCGGACACGC